rnacentral:sRNA from 1 species
AUGUACCCCGCGUGCGGUUGUGAGCGCGCCGUCCGCGCCCAGCUGACAGCUGCUCGCCACGUUGUGUUAGCC